rnacentral:rRNA from 1 species
CCUUAACAUGCAAGUCGAACGGUGAAGCCCCGCUUGCGGGGUGGAUCAGUGGCGAACGGGUGAGUAACACGUGAGCAACCUGCCCCUGACUCUGGGAUAAGCGCUGGAAACGGCGUCUAAUACUGGAUACGAGACGUGAUCGCAUGGUCAACGUUUGGAAAGAUUUUUCGGUUGGGGAUGGGCUCGCGGCCUAUCAGCUUGUUGGUGAGGUAAUGGCUCACCAAGGCGUCGACGGGUAGCCGGCCUGAGAGGGUGACCGGCCACACUGGGACUGAGACACGGCCCAGACUCCUACGGGAGGCAGCAGUGGGGAAUAUUGCACAAUGGGCGCAAGCCUGAUGCAGCAACGCCGCGUGAGGGAUGACGGCCUUCGGGUUGUAAACCUCUUUUAGCAGGGAAGAAGCGAGAGUGACGGUACCUGCAGAAAAAGCACCGGCUAACUACGUGCCAGCAGCCGCGGUAAUACGUAGGGUGCAAGCGUUAUCCGGAAUUAUUGGGCGUAAAGAGCUCGUAGGCGGUUUGUCGCGUCUGCUGUGAAAUCUGGGGGCUCAACCCCCAGCCUGCAGUGGGUACGGGCAGACUAGAGUGCGGUAGGGGAGAUUGGAAUUCCUGGUGUAGCGGUGGAAUGCGCAGAUAUCAGGAGGAACACCGAUGGCGAAGGCAGAUCUCUGGGCCGUAACUGACGCUGAGGAGCGAAAGGGUGGGGAGCAAACAGGCUUAGAUACCCUGGUAGUCCACCCCGUAAACGUUGGGAACUAGUUGUGGGGUCCAUUCCACGGAUUCCGUGACGCAGCUAACGCAUUAAGUUCCCCGCCUGGGGAGUACGGCCGCAAGGCUAAAACUCAAAGGAAUUGACGGGGACCCGCACAAGCGGCGGAGCAUGCGGAUUAAUUCGAUGCAACGCGAAGAACCUUACCAAGGCUUGACAUAUACGAGAACGGGCCAGAAAUGGUCAACUCUUUGGACACUCGUAAACAGGUGGUGCAUGGUUGUCGUCAGCUCGUGUCGUGAGAUGUUGGGUUAAGUCCCGCAACGAGCGCAACCCUCGUUCUAUGUUGCCAGCACGUAAUGGUGGGAACUCAUGGGAUACUGCCGGGGUCAACUCGGAGGAAGGUGGGGAUGACGUCAAAUCAUCAUGCCCCUUAUGUCUUGGGCUUCACGCAUGCUACAAUGGCCGGUACAAUGGGCUGCAAUACCGUGAGGUGGAGCGAAUCCCAAAAAGCCGGUCCCAGUUCGGAUUGAGGUCUGCAACUCGACCUCAUGAAGUCGGAGUCGCUAGUAAUCGCAGAUCAGCAACGCUGCGGUGAAUACGUUCCCGGGUCUUGUACACACCGCCCGUCAAGUCAUGAAAGUCGGUAACACCUGAAGCCGGUGGCCUAACCCUUCGGGGAGGGAGCUUCGAAGGUGAC